rnacentral:lncRNA from 1 species
GUGACAUUCCUUUGUGCUUAAUCCAAAAAUGGAAAAAACUUUCCUUCUUCUCCUGACCCAGUCGGCCACCACCUCUAGCCCAGCCGGCCUGCUCGCUUUGCACCAGCCCAGCACCCCUCCCUCGGCCCAGCUCGUCCUCCUCUUGCCUCUAGCCCAACUGGCCGAAAGGCCCUGGCUCCUCCCCUUACCCCCAUCGUAGCCCAGCCUGCUCCCCAUCCCCCUCCACGGCCCA